UAUCCUAGAGUACUUUAAAUGUAUGUAAAUAAUUGUAUCUUAAUUUGAAGAUAUUUUGUGUAUGAUUUUAUCAUUUGGAACGGGAGAAAAACAUAACAUGCAAUCAUGCAUCAUAUAUGUUUCAAAUUUCAACCCUAAAUUUAAAUAUAAAAACAUCAAAAAUCAUGAAAAAAGCAAUAAAAAAACAUCAAUUUUCACUUAAUUUAAGAUCCAACAGAGACAACAUUUAAAAAAAAAA
rnacentral:lncRNA from 1 species